rnacentral:lncRNA from 1 species
ACAAUUGUUUUCACUUAUGUUAUAUAAAUAUUAUAAAAUUUGAAUCUUGUGAGACUCUAACCUCAAUCGCACAACGUACAUCUCGUGCAUUAGGCGCGCUUUCCCCUAGUGGAUGCUAUAAUGACGAAAGAGAGAUGUUGUUUUCUUGCAACUUGACUUUAAUCAGGAUUCUGCCAAUUAUUCUUACAUCAUUCGGACAACUGUUCUUCUUAAAAUUUAAAAGAACGCAAAGAAUAACUGAAGUUUAUAAAAGUUGAAGAAAUUUUCACAAGGAUUAGAACAGCCUGCGACCACAUCAUCGGCAGAAAACUGAACUCAAAUGGAAGCGCUUGCACUCAUGUCACUAUCAUGUCCUGACAAUUUCGGAUUUUAUAAAACUAUAGGAGACGUGAUUGACG